AUGACGAGGCACUACGGUGCUGAAGCAACAAAUGCCCUGCUUCCAGGAAAAGCCUCUAAGCAUCAGGUAACAUCAAAUCGUACCCCAAACCGACACAGGUGGUCAGGUAGAGAAUACCAAGGCGCUUGAGAGAACUCGGGUGAAGGAACUAGGCAAAAUGGUGCCGUAACUUCGGGAGAAGGCACGCUGAUAUGUAGGUGAAGUCCCUCGCGGAUGGAGCUGAAAUCAGUCGAAGAUACCAGCUGGCUGCAACUGUUUAUUAAAAACACAGCACUGUGCAAACACGAAAGUGGACGUAUACGGUGUGACGCCUGCCCGGUGCCGGAAGGUUAAUUGAUGGGGUCAGCGCAAGCGAAGCUCUUGAUCGAAGCCCCGGUAAACGGCGGCCGUAACUAUAACGGUCCUAAGGUAGCGAAAUUCCUUGUCGGGUAAGUUCCGACCUGCACGAAUGGCGUAAUGAUGGCCAGGCUGUCUCCACCCGAGACUCAGUGAAAUUGAACUCGCUGUGAAGAUGCAGUGUACCCGCGGCAAGACGGAAAGACCCCGUGAACCUUUACUAUAGCUUGACACUGAACAUUGAGCCUUGAUGUGUAGGAUAGGUGGGAGGCUUUGAAGUGUGGACGCCAGUCUGCAUGGAGCCGACCUUGAAAUACCACCCUUUAAUGUUUGAUGUUCUAACGUUGACCCGUAAUCCGGGUUGCGGACAGUGUCUGGUGGGUAGUUUGACUGGGGCGGUCUCCUCCUAAAGAGUAACGGAGGAGCACGAAGGUUGGCUAAUCCUGGUCGGACAUCAGGAGGUUAGUGCAAUGGCAUAAGCCAGCUUGACUGCGAGCGUGACGGCGCGAGCAGGUGCGAAAGCAGGUCAUAGUGAUCCGGUGGUUCUGAAUGGAAGGGCCAUCGCUCAACGGAUAAAAGGUACUCCGGGGAUAACAGGCUGAUACCGCCCAAGAGUUCAUAUCGACGGCGGUGUUUGGCACCUCGAUGUCGGCUCAUCACAUCCUGGGGCUGAAGUAGGUCCCAAGGGUAUGGCUGUUCGCCAUUUAAAGUGGUACGCGAGCUGGGUUUAGAACGUCGUGAGACAGUUCGGUCCCUAUCUGCCGUGGGCGCUGGAGAACUGAGGGGGGCUGCUCCUAGUACGAGAGGACCGGAGUGGACGCAUCACUGGUGUUCGGGUUGUCAUGCCAAUGGCACUGCCCGGUAGCUAAAUGCGGAAGAGAUAAGUGCUGAAAGCAUCUAAGCACGAAACUUGCCCCGAGAUGAGUUCUCCCUGACUCCUUGAGAGUCCUGAAGGAACGUUGAAG
rnacentral:rRNA from 1 species